rnacentral:lncRNA from 1 species
CCUUGUCUUAUUCUUUAGCUCUAGUGCAUUUCUCGGGGCUUACACUAGAAUUGCUCGGGGCACUAGUGAAGACAUACUGAGCUGGCCAUUAUUGAUUGUGCUUUAUAACUAUCUGGGUUGGAGGUUAAGAUAAUUCUCAGUGUUAUCUGAUCUUGUCUUUAUUGAGGUUCUCUUUUCCUUUGUUUCUAUUGCUUUUCUGGAUCUUGGGAACGUAUGGAGACUGUGAGUUGCCUGGUGCUUCCGAGUUCUUGCCAUGUGUGACCACUGGGAAUUUCCCCGGGAGAAUUUGUUUCUGUAUAUUGGAAGGUGAUACACUAGAACCAGGAUGGACUUGUAGUGAGCAAAGGUGGGGCUGGAUGAGUCCAGAGAAGAGAGAAAAACUGGGUCUGACACGGGUCUAAAGUGCAACUUGAAGUGCAAGUUUCCUGGGAGAGACUAUCUUGGGUAUUAUUGAGUGAAUCAAAGGGUUAGGGUAAAGAAGAAAGACUGUACAAGAGCUCUAUGCAAUCUCCCCACUGUUGGAGAAGAAAGGACGGCUGUAGCCAGUGGACUCUUGUGUAGGAACGUGUGAGAGUGAGAAACUGGAAUUGCAGGACAGGAAGCAGAGUAACAAUUGAAUACCUGAUUCCUUGUCUAGGUUGGUUAGUGUGUUCUAGGGUGAUCAAAAACUUUUUCAGAAAAUAGUGAGGGGAAAUGGAAGGAAGGAAGGAGAGAGAGAGAGAGAGAGAUAGAUAGAUAGAUAGAGAGAGAGAGAGAGAGAGAGAGAGAGAGAGAGAGAAAUAUUCAGUUUACUGGACUCCAGUUUUUAGAGUUUCUGGCAUGAGAGAUGACAGAUAGGAAAAAUAAUAAGUCAAUUUAUUUGCAGUAUAUGUAAAUUUAUAACUUCUCAAGUGACUGAUAUUUUAAAAGUUCAAGUUUUACAGUGUUUUUCCUCUACUCCUGGAGACAACCUGGUUUAAAAUCUUCUCAUUUCCUUUUUCUUUUUCUUUUCUUUCUUUCUUUUUUCCUUUUUUUUUCUUUUUCUUUUUGUAUUUUUUGUCAAUGUGUGCAGAACAUGUUGAACAUUAACAGCGUUUCUUCCUUGUCAGGGCAUGGUUUGCAAUAAUUGGAAAAGAACAGGGUCAAACAUACUUUAAUCAUUUAUAUAUUUUUCAUUUAUAUGGAGGUACAAAAAUGUUCAAAUGUCUACUCAAUAACCCUUUCAUGUAAUUUCUAUUAAAAACUUUCCACAGGGAACUUUUCAAGCCCCAGUUGCAAAUUUAGUCAUGUUUAAAACAAUAGUAAAGAUACACGCAACAAAGUAAAAUCAGUAUCAUUGUGGCCAACUAGAGCUAAAUGCAUAAUUAAUCGUAAUUUUCCUGUUAUAUAAAAUAGUAUCACUUAAAUGAAUGUUGUUUUUUUUUCUACUGUAAAGGUUUUAACAUACCACUUAUGCAUCUUAUGAACUAGUUAUUGGGAAAAGUUUAUGUAGUAUUUAGAGUAAAACCAUGCCAAAAGAAUUUCUGCAUAAAUCUUGAUAAAAGUAAUAAAAAAAAGAGAAUUAUAGAAAUGGGCUCUUUUGCUAUCUGAUAUUAGGACCAUAAUCAUAUAUAACAUUCUGGUUAAGUAGACUAGAAUAUGUAACAAUUUCUUUUGGUCACAAUUGGGUAGUAUAAUUUGCCCCAUACCACGGCAGUUUAAUCAUGUAAACAAAAUUAAUUGCAGUUUCCUGGAAAUAUUCUUUUGCUAACUCUCAAGUGCCUUUUCUUUGCCUCUACAAUUCCUUAGAUAACUAUUACUCCCAAUUUGUUGCUUUGUAUUUACUAUCACAGUUGCCAGAAAUUCUGUCUCUUUUGAGAUUUAAUUGUAAAAUGCCUCUUCUAGCCUCUCAGUUUGAUCCCCAGUUGCUUAUGAUGUUGGUUUGGAAAACAGUUGGACCUUUGUGAAAUGAAGUAUUACUAGAGGAAUAAUAGAGUCGUUUGGUCAAAGGAGGACUUUCUUAUUUCACAAUUACCAACCCUCGGGCAAAAAUAGAGAUUCUGGCAAAUCUACAUUCAUAGUCCUAUGACUGAAUGAUUUAUGCAACAUUGUGUGACUUGUAUUCUAUGGGUUUUUACUGCUGUAAUAAAACAGCUUGACCAAAAGCAACUUGAGGAGAAAGGAUUUAAUUUGUUUAGACAGCCACAUCACUCAGGUUAUAUCCUUGAAUAAUGAGGGUAGAAACUCAGGCAAGACAGUAACCUGGAGGUAGGAAGUGAAGC